rnacentral:rRNA from 3 species
UUGAGCUUGAUCCUGGCUCAGGACGAACGCUGGCGGUAUGCCUAAUACAUGCAAGUCGAACGCUGAAGCACUCUGCUUGCAGAGUGCGGAUGAGUGGCGAACGGGUGAGUAACACGUGGGUAACCUGCCCAUAAGAGGGGGAUAACAUCCGGAAACGGGUGCUAAUACCGCAUAGGUGAACGGAGCGCAUGCUCUGUUCAUUAAAGGUGGCCUUGCGCUACCGCUUAUGGAUGGACCCGCGGCGUAUUAGCUAGUUGGUGAGGUAAUGGCUCACCAAGGCGAUGAUACGUAGCCGACCUGAGAGGGUGAUCGGCCACACUGGGACUGAGACACGGCCCAGACUCCUACGGGAGGCAGCAGUAGGGAAUCUUCCACAAUGGGCGAAAGCCUGAUGGAGCAAUACCGCGUGAGUGAAGAAGGUCUUCGGAUCGUAAAGCUCUGUUGUUAGAGAAGAACACGCAGAACAG